GGCCCGUUGGUCAAGUGGUUAAGACACCGCCCUUUCACGGCGGUAACAUGGGUUCGAAUCCCGUACGGGCUA
rnacentral:tRNA from 1 species